rnacentral:lncRNA from 1 species
CACUCUCAUUGUGUUUUAUUUACCAGCUUGCUUUUAAAGAGCCAGGACCAGUCCACUAGCUGUGCAGAGUGCUGACCUCUUGGAUGAGAGCCCUGACCUCAUAGGAUAUCUGAGCUUGUCAUAAUUCAGGUGGGUUCUGUAGGGAAGCAGGGGCUCGUGGGGAGUGGGAGGAAGCUGGGGAGAAGAUGAGUUGAGAGCAGUCCAGUGUGAGGGAAAGUGGGGAUCCUGGGCCAACUUACCAUUAAGAGGGUCCAGUCCUGUGACUGCUGUGAAGUAACCAGGAUUCCACAUAGAGAUGGGGCUCAAAGUCAGCCCAGGAGCAGCACUGUGGUCCCAGCAGCACCUCUGGGCCAGUCCAGCCAGGUGUAGAGUGAAGCUGAGCCCUUGAUUCAUCCUUGAUUCCAUUGUGAAGUCACACAGCAGCUUGAACUAAUAUUUGGCGACUCCAAGGCCAGGGAUAAAAAUGAAGAGAUGGAGAGACAAGAUUUCCUGGCCUCUAAUUGGCAGCACCCGUUGACUCUGCUCGUGACCAGACUCAUGAACGCUUCAUCCAAGGUUUCAUGUCAUCCGUGUGAGGAACCUCUCUGAUUUGAGAAAAUCUUUCUUAAAAUGGGCUUCUAGUUGUAAAGCCAUUGUCUUUUUAGGAAAUCAUCAAAUACCUUAAAGCUAGACACGCAAUCAGCUGCAUAAAUGACACACUCACUAAAUCAAUCCUUUAUCAGGUGGUCCUUCAAGGAUUUCUUGGUUUUGGGUUUUGAAAUGUGUAAGGUUUGCUGCUAGCAACUCCACAUUUUUUUAUUCACUCACAAAGACACAUGGUCAUAAAUAAAAUGCAUGGAACCAGCGAGACAAUAGCACAGCAGUAAUGUCAUUUUAUAUGCAGCAUGGCCCUGUUGUGAACGGAAUGAUUGUGAACGGAAUGAUGGCCAAGGAGCUUUAUGCUUCUGCACCGCCAGCUCACACGAUGGUCCGUGUAUUGCCCCGUGGAAAACCGGGGGUGGAAAGCUGUCUCCACGUUCUGCUGCCGAAGCAGCAAGCUGAUUCACACAUCUUGAAGGCACAGUGGAACAUGGAAGGGUGCAUAUGAGACUUGAUUUUGAGGAUGAAACUUCCUGUCUGAAUCGCUAAGUCUCCCAGCAGGGGUGUUAAUGUCCCUGUGAGAUGCAGGCUUCCCACAGACACACCCAGGUUGCGAGUGGGUUCAACAUGGUCACAGGAGCUUCAAAUGGUGAUCCUGAUGCUCAUGGCCAUGCAUUGAGAACAACUGUGUAAGAAGAUAUGGAUAAUGCUUGAAAACUACUAGUAUUAGCACCAUUUUGCAUAUACUCCAAGGAAGAUCUCAAUAAAUGCUUAAUGGAAAUAAGUAAAGGUAUGAAUGCUGGACCUAAUACAGGAGGAAGACCCAGGUGAUUUGUGUACAAUUUGGACACAAGCUCUUGCCAACCACCUGAGAGAUUCCAACAAUGAGAUGAGAUUCCUUACCUUGAACCAGAUAAUUUGGAAUGAAUGUCUAGGCAGAACUUCUGCUUCAGAAUGACCACAAUUAACUACCAGACAACCAACUUUGGGGACAUAUCAGUAGGUGCAGAGCAUUUAGAACUGGAAGGACCAUUUGAAAUACAUAGUUCAUCUCUCUCAUGUUACUGAGGAGGAAAACUGAAGUGCACGGAGGUAAAGUAACUCGCCCAGUAUCACAAUUUGUGUUUGUACCAUUGCUGAGGUGAGCACCUGGGCCUUCUAACCCCAAA